rnacentral:rRNA from 1 species
AUACGUAGGGAGCGAGCGUUGUCCGGAAUUACUGGGUGUAAAGGGAGCGUAGGCGGGAGUGCAAGUCAGAUGUGAAAUACAUGGGCUCAACCCAUGGGCUGCAUUUGAAACUGCAUUUCUUGAGUGAAGUAGAGGUAAGCGGAAUUCCUGGUGUAGCGGUGAAAUGCGUAGAUAUCAGGAGGAACACCGGCGGCGAAGGCGGCUUACUGGGCUUUUACUGACGCUGGCUCGAAAGCGUGGGGAGCAAACAGGAUUAGAUACCCUGGUAGUCCACGCUGUAAACGAUGAUUACUAGGUGUGGGGGGACUGACCCCUUCCGUGCCGCAGUUAACACAAUAAGUAAUCCACCUGGGGAGUACGGCCGCAAGGUUGAAACUCAAAUGAAUUGACGGGG